GCAGCCUGCCCACCACGCUGAGCUCUGAGGACACAGGACAGGCUGUCCCCCAGCUCUCACUCUGGCCCUUCCUCCUCUGCCCCCCAGCUCAGGGCCAUGUCUCCUGGGUCACCUCUCAGGCAGAGUCCUAGAGCCUCCUGUCCCUCCCACCAGGCAGGAUCUCACUUCCUCCUCUUCCGCAGCCCCUAGGGCAGGACCAAGGUCCCCUCCACUGUUCCCUCUGGGCCAUUGUGGAAUGGCCACACCAGCAGCUCCCGUGGCCUCCCAGGAGCCCCCACCAGGAAGGAGGAGGAGAGCAGCCUUGUGGAUCACACAGUUGCCGGCUGGGCUCUGAGCUGCUCCAUUUCUGGCGGGAGACCCCUUCUUGGGGUCAAUCCCCUUCAGCCUCCGGGGCACCAGGAGGAAGAGCUGCUGUGCCAGGAGGAAUCCCUCAGGCCGGGUCUGCCCAGGUCCCCAGGAACCCGGAGGAGGGUGUGCAGGAUGGGGGUGAGCAACACUGCCGUUCUACCAGGGGCUCCCCA